rnacentral:rRNA from 1 species
UACCUACGGGGCGCAGCAGUGGGGGAUAUUGCACAAUGGGGGAAACCCUGAUGCAGCGACACCGCGUGGGUGAAGAAGCGCUUCGGCGUGUAAAGCCCUAUCAGUGGGGAAGAAAAAGGACGGUACCCAAAGAAGAAGCACCGGCUAAAUACGUGCCAGCAGCCGCGGUAAUACGUAUGGUGCAAGCGUUAUCCGGAAUGACUGGGUGUAAAGGGAGCGUAGACGGUUGUACAAGUCUGAUGUGAAAGCCCACGGCUCAACCCCAGGACUGCAUUGGAAACUGUUAGGCUGGAGUGUCGGAGAGG